rnacentral:rRNA from 1 species
CUAAUACAUGCAAGUCGAACGGUAACAGGGCAGAACUUCGGUUCAGCCGCUGACGAGUGGCGCACGGGUGAGUAACGCGUACAUAACCUGCCUUCAAGAGAGGGAUAGCCCUGGGAAACCGGGAUUAAUACCUCAUAGUAUUGCUAAGUCGCAUGGCUGUGCAAUUAAAGUUUCGGCGCUUGAAGAUGGAUGUGCGUGCCAUUAGCUAGUUGGUAAGGUAACGGCUUACCAAGGCAACGAUGGCUAGGGGGCGUGAGAGCGUGACCCCCCACACGGGUACUGAGACACGGACCCGACUCCUACGGGAGGCAGCAGUAAGGAAUAUUGGACAAUGGAGGCAACUCUGAUCCAGCCAUCCCGCGUGCAGGAUGACUGCCCUAUGGGUUGUAAACUGCUUUUAUUUGGGAAGAAACCUGUUCAUUUACUGAACAGUUGACGGUACCUUAUGAAUAAGCACCGGCUAACUCCGUGCCAGCAGCCGCGGUAAUACGGAGGGUGCAAGCGUUAUCCGGAAUCACUGGGUUUAAAGGGAGCGUAGGCGGCAUGAUAAGUCAGAGGUGAAAGGCUGUAGCUUAACUAUGGAAUUGCCUUUGAUACUGUUGUGCUUGAAUCGAGUUGAGGUCAGCAGAAUGUGACCUGUAGCGGUGAAAUGCAUAGAUAUGUCAUAGAAUACCAAUUGUGAAGACAGCUUGGCUGGACUUGUAUUGACGCUUGAGGCUCGAAAGCGUGGGGAGCAAACAGGAUUAGAAUACCCUGGUAGUCCACGCCUCUAACCGAUGUUUACUCGAUGUUGGCUUUUGGAAGUCAGGCGUCCAAGGGAAACACUUAAAGUAAACCACUUGGGAAGACCUCCGGAACCCGUGGAACUCCCAGGGAAUUACACGGGGCCACACACACGCGUGGAGCACAUGUGGUAAAUCGAGUUAACGCGAGAGACCUUCACGGGCUCGCGAGGGAACCGGACCAUCCCUGAAAAGGGAGUUUUUCCCCUCGGCGACAUGGAUACAAGGUUCUGCAUGGCCGUUGUCAGCUUCUUCCCUGAAGUUGUGGGUUAAAGUCCCGCAACGAGCGCAACCCCUAUUUUCAGUUGCCAGCACAUAAUGGUGGGGACU